rnacentral:tRNA from 1 species
GGACAGAUGGCCGAGCUGGUUAUGGCGCCAGGUUAAGGAAAACAUCCUGUCUCCUGGUCACGAAAGUGGCGUGGGUUCGAGUCCCACUCUGUUCA